rnacentral:rRNA from 1 species
UAGGGAAUAUUGGUCAAUGGACGGAAGUCUGAACCAGCCAUGCCGCGUGCAGGAAGACGGCCUUCUGGGUUGUAAACUGCUUUUAUCAGGGAAGAAUAAGCUUCUUGCGAGAGGUGAUGCCGGUACCUGAGGAAUAAGCACCGGCUAACUCCGUGCCAGCAGCCGCGGUAAUACGGAGGGUGCGAGCGUUGUCCGGAUUUAUUGGGUUUAAAGGGUGCGUAGGCGGCCUGUUAAGUCAGUGGUGAAAGGUAUCAGCUCAACUGAUGACGAGCCAUUGAAACUGGCGGGCUUGAGUACAGACGAGGUAGGCGGAAUUUAUGGUGUAGCGGUGAAAUGCAUAGAUACCAUAAAGAACACCGAUAGCGAAGGCAGCUUACUAGGCUGAGACUGACGCUGAGGCACGAGAGCGUGGGGAGCGAACAGGAUUAGAUACCCCGGUAGUCC